rnacentral:tRNA from 1 species
GCUGGGGCUCAGUGGCAGAGCACUUGCCUAGCAUGUGUGAGGCACUGGGUUCAAUUCUCAGCACCGCA